AUUGAACGCUGGCGGCAGGCCUGACACAUGCAAGUCGAGCGGAUGAAGGGAGCUUGCUCCUGGAUUCAGCGGCGGACGGGUGAGUAAUGCCUAUGAAUCUGCCUGGUAGUGGGGGAUAACGUCCGGAAACGGGCGCUAAUACCGCAUACGUCCUGAGGGAGAAAGUGGGGGAUCUUCGGACCUCACGCUAUCAGAUGAGCCUAGGUCGGAUUAGCUAGUUGGUGGGGUAAAGGCCUACCAAGGCGACGAUCCGUAACUGGUCUGAGAGGAUGAUCAGUCACACUGGAACUGAGACACGGUCCAGACUCCUACGGGAGGCAGCAGUGGGGAAUAUUGGACAAAGGGCGAAAGCCUGAUCCAGCCAUGCCGCGUGUGUGAAGAAGGUCUUCGGAUUGUAAAGAACUUUAAGUUGGGAGGAAGGGCAGUAAGUUAAUACCUUGCUGUUUUGACGUUACCAACAGAAUAAGCACCGGCUAACUUCGUG
rnacentral:rRNA from 1 species